rnacentral:rRNA from 1 species
UACGGAGGGGGUUAGCGUUGUUCGGAAUGACUGGGCGUAAAGCGCGCGUAGGCGGAUCAGGAAGUUGGGGGUGAAAUCCCGGGGCUCAACCCCGGAAUGGCCUUCAAAACUCCUGGUCUUGAGUUCGAGAGAGGUGAGUGGAAUUCCGAGUGUAGAGGUGAAAUUCGUAGAUAUUCGGAGGAACACCAGUGGCAAAGGCGGCUCACUGGCUCGACACUGACGCUGAGGUGCGAAAGCGUGGGGAGCAAACAGG